UACGGGGGGGGCAAGCGUUGUUCGGAAUUACUGGGCGUAAGGGCUCGUAGGCGGCCAACUAAGUUCGACGUGAAAUCCCCAGGCUUAACCUGGGAACUGCGUCGGAUACUGGAUGGCUUGAAUUCGGGAGAGGGAUGCAGAAUUCCAGGUGUAGCGGUGAAAUGCGUAGAUAUCUGGAGGAAUACCGGUGGCGAAGGCGGCAUCCUGGACCGACAUUGACGCUGAGGAGCGAAAGCUAGGGGAGCAAACGGG
rnacentral:rRNA from 1 species